UUUUUAAUUAAACCCUUAAUCUUGAGUAGUAAUAGUUAUGAUCUUGAAACUUAAAGAAUUUGGCGGUAUUUUAGUCUAUUUAGAGGAAUCUGUUCCAUUAUCGAUAGUCCACGUUGAACCUUACUUAAAUUUAAUAGUUUGUAUAUCGCCGUAUAUUGAAGAUCUUUUUAGAGUAUUUUCUUGAAAAUUAAUAAAGUAGAAUUUCAGGUCAAGGUGCAGCUUAUGUUUAAGAGGAAAUGGAUUACAUUAUUAUGAAGGUUAAUGGAUUAAAUAUUGAAAUAUUUUUAUGAAAAUGGAUUUAAUAGUAAUAUUUUAUAGAUUAGAAAUAUGAUUUGGCUCUAAAAUGUGC
rnacentral:rRNA from 1 species